rnacentral:sRNA from 1 species
UGUUGGUGACAUUCAAAUCAACAUAGCAAGUUAAAAUAAGGCUUUGACCGUAAUAACCUUUUAAGUGGCGCUGUUUCGGCGCUUUUUUU